GGGGGCGUCUUCUAACCGGGAAGAUACCAGAUUGAGGGUCUGGUGAUGCGGGUUCGAAACCCGUCGCCUCCA
rnacentral:tRNA from 1 species